rnacentral:rRNA from 1 species
UACGUAGGGUGCAAGCGUUAACCGGAAUUACUGGGCGUAAAGCGUGCGCAGGCGGUUUUGUAAGUCUGAUGUGAAAUCCCCGGGCUCAUCCUGGGAAUUGCAUUGGAGACUGCAAGGCUAGAAUCUGGCAGAGGGGGGUAGAAUUCCACGUGUAGCAGUGAAAUGCGUAGAGAUGUGGAGGAACACCGAUGGCGAAGGCAGCCCCCUGGGUCAAGAUUGACGCUCAUGCACGAAAGCGUGGGGAGCAAACAGG